rnacentral:lncRNA from 10 species
UUAUCUUCUCUUGCUCAAGGGACACGCCAACUGUGAACUCUUCCCUCCUCACCUCCUGGCAGGGAGAUGGGUAAUUCCAAAGCUCAUAUAUACCCCAAAGUAGCCUUUUUAGGUUUUGUCCCUCUCCCUUUGGGUCUUUUAUAACACAGCUGUCUACAUGAAGAGAAGAAAGUCAGCACCAAGCUGAUGGACUCUAAGUGAUCACAGAUACAAAGAGACAGUGGUUUCUGAGUAGGUGCAAUGUUAUGAAACAGGGUGAAAACUAUCAAGCACAGGUGGGUGUCUGCUACUGAGAGGGACUGCAAAGAGCCGAGACAGCCCAUCAGGUAAGCAGGCCUCGAUAUAGGACCAAGAAGCAAGUGCUGGGCACCUCCAGAGGAUCCCAUGUGGCUGCCCUCAAUCAUCCAGAAGAGCAGAAAGGUUCCCCUCUGUCACCCAGGCUAGGAUGCAGUGGCACAACACAGCUCAUUGCAGCCUUGAACUUCCAGGCUCAAGUGAUCCUCCCACCUCAGCCUCCUGAGUAGCUGGGACUACAGGUAUGCACCACCACACCUGACUGAUUUUUAAAAUUUUUAUAGAGAUGAGUUCUCGCUAUGUUGCCCAGGCUGGUCUCAAACUCUUGUGCUCAAGCAAUCCUCCCGCCUGGGCCUCCCAAAGUGCUAGGAUUACAGGCAUGAGCCACUAAGCCCGGCCAAGCUUGACUUUAAUAUCUCGCUACAUGUCUCUACUAGAGAGUAUCUUUUAAGCUUCACUUGGUCAAAUAACAGUAAUUACAUGGCUCACACAUAGCAGGUACAUACAUCACUUUGUUCAUUUCCUUCACAGCACUAAUCAUAAAGGGGAACAACCUUUUAAAUUUGCUUAAUUAAUAGCUUUCUGCUCCAACUAGGAUACAACCUCCUAGAAUAUUGCCUGAUCUAGAGUAGACACUCAAUAAACAUUUGCUGAAUGAAUGAAUUCAGACAGUUAGCUACUGCCUGUUUCUUCUUAUAGGCAGAAGCCAUCUCUCGUGUAUGUGUCUAUAUCUAUAGCAGCUAGCGCAGAUUUUUAUAUAUACAGAAAACUCAACAACUGAUCUCUGAAACCAUGAAUCAAGGCGUGUGAAUGAAUAAAUGAGUUAAUUAAUAUAUAAAUGAACAGGCAAACAGUACUAAUAUUCCUAUGUCCACUGUGAAAAAAUUAGUAAGCAUGCAUGCUACUACAGAGGAUAUUUCAGAAUGCAUGGUGAGUUUAAGGGCCUUGUUCUACGCUCCAGCUUCCUCUCUGUAGAACUUUCUCCCCGGGAGUCAGGUGAAGAGUACAGAUUGAGUGCUAGAGACAGUGGUUUUCAGCAGAACUCUGAACCUAAGCUAAGGAAGUGAUGACUCCUCUCCCUUCCUAACUAUUUUCUAAGAAUGUUUUGGCCCUCUGCCAUCAAAGGAUGAAUGCUACAAGUAGUGUAAGUUAGUAAUAUGGCGAGUGUGAUGAUUCAAAUGGCUCAAAGGAGGCAAAAAAAAGUCUUUGUUGCACAGUUCUCUUUCCUAUUCUUUUCUAUAAAUAGCAUGUUGAUUUUUAAGAGCUGCCAGAUUUUAUAAACUUCUUUUCCAGAGUGAUUUAUUAGUGUCAAGCAUUACUAUCAUCCUGUAGUUCUAAACUCCUCUCCUGUGGGCAGUAAUUUAGCCCUAGUUUUUUCUCUGUGAUAAACCUUUGCAUGAUUCGUGAGUCUCUAAUUAGGGAUCAUAGUUUCCUUGCAGGUCUCUGCAAAGAAACAGCCAACAAUCUCAGGUUAAGAGACUCAACACAAGAGAGAAACCAAUUUUGCAAAGUGUCCCAAUAAUGUCUCUCAUAGAACUUUUUCUCCCUGAGCCAGGAUCCAAAAUAGUGUCAUGCAUUGCACGUAGCUGUCAUGCCUCUUUAGUCUCCUUUAAUCUCGAACAGCUGAUGGGGGCAUAUUUGCAGCGAGUAUCCAUUAAAAAAUACUUACACUCUCCAGAUACAUCAGCUUGGUUAAUUGGAAAGCUCUUUAAUAAUUGUUUUAGUACAUAAAAUUAAGAGUUUCCACAAGAAUAAUUAAUCAUACAGUAUUUUAUAAUAAGAAAUAUUUAUAUAUCAACUGACUACGGAAUUUCAACUUGCAAAGCACAUAAAUGGAUUUUUCACCCUGAGUUACAUCUAAAAUGCUUACCUAUAUUUGAAAGUGAUGGAAAGCUGGUGAGUAAAUAUUCCCCUAUUCUGUUCCUUGGGUGGACAAUUCUGAGACACAUUCUACACAUUUUCUAAGAAGGUUCUGGCAGCAUUGAGAUGCAUGUGCUCACAAAGGUGUCAGUCUCAGUCUGUACGGGCUGCUAUGACAAACAUGCCACAGCCUGGGUGGCCAGCAUAGUCAGGUUCUGGUGAAGGCUCACUUUCCUAAUUCUAAGACAAUGUUCUUGUUGUGUCCUCACAUGGCAGAAGGGGAAGAAGUGAGAGAGAUAUUUGGGGUCUCUUUUAUAAGGGCACUAAUCAUUUUCAUGAGAGCUCCACUCUCAUGACCUAAUCACCUUGCAAAGAACCCACCUCCUAAGACCAUCACCUUAGGGGUCAGGAUUUCAACAUACACAUUUGGGGGAUCACAAACAUCCAGUCCAUGACAGUGACCAAAUUAAGAGCUCACCCUUGCAAGGAUCCAAGAAGGAAGACAAAAAAAAAAAAUCAGUUAAAAGAAAAAUAUGAUAGGAAAGUUGAAAGACAUUGAAAAUUGAAAGACAUUGAAAAUUGAAAAAGAUUCACUCAUGGAAACUCCAGAAGGAGAGAACAGAGAAAAUAGGGGAAGUAAUUGAAGAAAUAAAAUAAAAUUUCCCAAGCUGAAGAAAAGCACCAGUUGUCAGAUUGAAAAAGCCUGCUGAAUGACAUCUCCAGAGAGAAGAAAGCCAGUUACCUACAAUGAAAAGAGACAAAAAAUUGGCAUCGCGCUUCUCAUGUCAACAUGGAUAUUAGUCAACUAUGUGGCAAACCAUGGCAAUAGUUCAAUGGGUUGGUGGUGAAACCCUGUUGUUGUUUUGUUUUGUUUCAUUUUUGAGAUAGGGUUUUGCUAUAUCAUCGAGGCUGGUCUUGAACUUCCUGCCUCAAAUGAUCCUCCCCCCUUAGCCCUUUCAUGUAUUUCCUUCUUGGAGAGAGCUGUGUCUUCAUUUUUCUCUCCCUGAUUGUUGUAGCAGUCUGGAGUUAUCUUAAGCUCUGCUUUUCUAUUCUAGGCCCCUACACCAGGACGCCUUAAGGGAAGGAAGUUUGCUUGCUUCAGAGUGUAGUUCUCCACUUUUAACCUGGGAUCAAACACGUGUGUUGUGUGUAUAAACCAGGAGACAGGAGAGAGAUGGUUUCUGGGCUGUCCUCUCUGACCUGAUGCAGCUGUUUAUGACUCACUAGAAGCAUUGCUCCAUGGCUACUUCUCUUCUUGUUCCAUUUGUUCUCUCUAAGUUUGGAAUUUCCCCAAUUGGCCUUUCACUCACGGGUGUGUCGGGAUGUAGUUUUCUGUUCACGCCUGUUAUCAGUCUCCUCUCAUUCAUUUCUAUCUUCUUUCCAGGAAUGUCUCGAAUUUCCUGGUCUUUUAAUGGUGGUUUCAUUUCAUGUUUUCCUAGAAUGCUGUAAAUGUAUUCUUUCUAAAAUAUAGCUUUUUAUUUUAAUAGAUUCAGGAUUGGAGGGAAGGUGAAAGCUUGCACUGUUUGUCAACUAGAUCUAAUAUCAUUCAUGUGUAUAUAUAUGUAUAUCUGUUUUAUAUUUUUAUUUUGUGUACUAUAGAAAAAUUAU